AGUGAACGCUGGCGGUAGGCCUAGCACAUGCAAGUCGAACGGCAGCACAGUAAGAGCUUGCUCUUACGGGUGGCGAGUGGCGGACGGGUGAGGAAUACAUCGGAAUCUACUUUUUCGUGGGGGAUAACGUAGGGAAACUUACGCUAAUACCGCAUACGACCUACGGGCGAAAGCAGGGGAUCUUCGGACCUUGCGCGAUUGAAUGAGCCGAUGUCGGAUUAGCUAGUUGGCGGGGUAAAGGCCCACCAAGGCGACGAUCCGUAGCUGGUCUGAGAGGAUGAUCAGCCACACUGGAACUGAGACACGGUCCAGACUCCUACGGGAGGCAGCAGUGGGGAAUAUUGGACAAUGGGCGCAAGCCUGAUCCAGCCAUACCGCGUGGGUGAAGAAGGCCUUCGGGUUGUAAAGCCCUUUUGUUGGGAAAGAAAAGCAGCAGGUUAAUACCCCGCUGUUCUGACGGUACCCAAAGAAUAAGCACCGGCUAACUUCGUG
rnacentral:rRNA from 1 species